rnacentral:tRNA from 1 species
GCCUGGGUGGCUCAGUUGGCUAAGCAUCUGACUUCGACUCAGGUCAUGAUCUUACAGAUCGUGGGUUUGAGCCCCAUGUCAGGCU